CGGAAGGUCCGGGCGUUAUCCGGAUUUAUUGGGUUUAAAGGGAGCGUAGGCCGGAGAUUAAGCGUGUUGUGAAAUGUAGAUGCUCAACAUCUGCACUGCAGCGCGAACUGGUUUCCUUGAGUACGCAUAAAGUGGGCGGAAUUCGUAGUGUAGCGGUGAAAUGCUUAGAUAUCACGAAGAACUCCGAUUGCGAAGGCAGCUCACUGGGGCGCAACUGACGCUGAAGCUCGAAAGCGCGGGUAUCGAACAGGAUU
rnacentral:rRNA from 1 species